UUGGGCCUGGCCCUGCCUGCUUAGAUGUCAUUUAUUUGCCUAGAUAUUACAACGUUUUGUUUUAAAUAUAAUUGGAUUUUUUAUGCCUUUUUUAAAAGAAAGGUCAACCUUUCCAGCAGUAUGUACUAGAGAAAAAGUAAAUGGGAAAGCAGAUGAGAGCCCUGAGAGAGCCAUGCAGAGUGGAGCUGGAUGGACGUGGGCGGCAUAUCCAGAAACCGACGCCAGAACCACACUGUCUGGCUUUGAAUCCCAGCUCUACCACUUACUGAUCGGCUAACUUCUGUUUCAUCCGGAAGGGAUUCCACCUGCAAGAGCCUUAUAAGCAAAGCUUUUUUCACAGGAAAAAUAUUGCACAAAGAAAAAGUUUCCACGCUGUGAUUGCUUGCAUUCUGGCUAUGCCAUAAAAAGGUGUCAGAGACGACUUCCUUCACCAGGGAAACAUCUUCUGUCCCCUCUCUCUCAGCUGAGGAGCCCAACACUCCUCUCUCGCUUGUCAACUUCUUACCAGAGAAGAGAGUUCCCGGCCAAGGAUCCCCAUGAGUCUCUUGGAUUAUGUCAUCCAGAGAGUUCCAGGAAGCAGUGGGGGGUGAAGGAACCAGAUGAGGCUGCCAACCCAGCAACACUUGCUCUAACCUCGGAAUUGCUUGCUUAGGAUGAAAGGCCAACCCUCCAGUCACUGAGGUUGACGAUCGUAGGAAGCAAGUGUGGAAGCAGGGCGACCAGUGAGGAGAUGGCUGCAGAGACCCAGCUGGGAGCUGAUGCUGGCCUGGCCUGGAGUGGGGGCAAAUAGAGAAUUUACAGCAGGAAUACAUUCAUAUAUUUCCCGUGUAAUUUAAAAUGAUUAAAAAGGUCCCUCAAUGAUGUGCAGAGGAAGGCUGGUGCCGACUGUCUGACUCCAGGUCAGCCCUCACUGCCCUGUGGCCCCGGAGCUGCCCUUCUCCAGAUGAUGAGCUCCAGGGUCAUUCUGACUCCACCCCAGGCUCCAGCCCCGGCAGAGAUGACAGGCUCUCCUGAGAAGUACCAGCUGAUGAAAGAGGAGGCGGGGGCAUGCUCAGGUUGCCGCAGCUUCUGCAAGUUGCAGGAAGUGAGGAAACUUGAGUCUGCUGGAGCCACAAGCUGCUCAGGAUGCAGGCCUCUAAGGUGUCACUGACAAAGGGGCUUGUGGAAGUGAUAUGUUGGUGAAGGCAGAGUGAGGCAGAACUUCAGACAGAGGGGCAGGGCUACCCGCUUUUUGUCCUUGCGUUUAUUUCAACUCAGCCUAGCUCUCUUCUUUGGAAGUCCCUGCUGUUCAGCCCAUGACAAGCUCAGAUGGGGCUGCAGAGCUAGAGACAUGGGACGCCCCGGCCCAAGAAGGAGGGAGGAGGCCUGGCUUCUAGCUCUUGACUUCAUCACUGACCAUCUGUCAUGAGCCUGGGGCUUAUCACUUAACCUCUUUGGACCUCAGUUUCUGCAUCUGUAAAAUGGUGAUUGUCAUCCCUCUAGGGGAAUUUAAUAUGAACAAAUUAUUAACUGCUGUUUUUCUUGUAAUGUGGAAAACAGCAGUGUCAUAAAGCAUUGACUUUUCAGGCUGUGCUCUGGGUACCAAUAUGAUGAGUAAGGAAGAGGGUGAGUAGGUGGGACUCUA